rnacentral:tRNA from 1 species
UCCUUGGUGGCUCAGAUGGUAGAGAACCUGGCUGGGAUGCAGGAGACCCAGGUUCGAUCCCUGGGUUGGGAA